CGAUAAAGAGGAGGGAUCAUUUCUCCACAUUUGGUGGAGUUGUUCAAACAUUCAGACCUCUAUUAAGAGACUGAUAGGAUUUAUUAGAGAUAAUACUGGAAUAGAAUUAGAAAAGAAACCAGAGGUAUUCUUGUUACACAUGCAUUGGCCGAAUAUGUCAUAUAUAAAUAGUUGUUUUAUAAUUCACUGUCUUAUUGCAUUUAAAAUUGUUCUUGCACGAAACUGGAAAUCUAAUCAAAUAGUUCACUGGGACGCUAUUAAAGAUCAAAUCAUCCUUCAUAUGAGGAUGGAAAGAGACCUAAGUAUACCGUAUUUGAAUUCCCCAAAAAGAAGGGAUCUAUGACAAAGAUGGGUUAAUAAAAUAGAACCUACUAUAUAAAUUAAACAGAUACCUCUUGGUAAUAUCUGAAGAGUAAGAGUCCUGAGCUAAGACAUAUUCCUAUACUAGCCCGAUCCCGCAGAUAAUAGUGUAAUUUGUUUGUUUAUUGUGAAUGUUUUGAUUGUGUAAUGAUGUUAUGUGACUUGUGGUGUUGUCCUGAUAUUUGUAUUUAUGUAAGAAAUUGAAUAAAAGAAUUUAUAUGAAAAAAAAAAA